CUUUGACUUGACCUCACUCUCUCGCUCCGUCUCUCGACUUUGACUCGACCUUGCCUCAGAGUCUCGAACAACCUCACCACCACCCUCCUCGACCUCACCUCAGACAACCUUACCAGUCACCUCAGAAUCCGGCCACACCCUUAGACCCUCUGAUCUCUCUCUCAACUUCUCAUCCCUCAGACCCUCACUGUGGAGGAGCUUUCCUUCAUGGCACAGAGGCAGAGCUACGACCAUUGGUGCCACUCACCUAUCUGAUCUCUCUCUCGACUUCUUCAUCCAUAUUCCAGUGCACUGUGCACUGAUUCUCCACCAAAUCAGAUAAAUUUUGGAAUUAAUUUUGGGUUUGUGAAAUUUAGAUUAGGGUUUGUGAAAUUUGGCAUUUUGAGCAUUUUGUUUGAAUAUUGAGAUUCUUGAAACAAAAUUAUUGGGAAGAGUAGGAAUGAGAUUCUGGGGUUUUGUUAGCAGAAAUUCUAGUUCGCAAUUUCGAUUGACUUUAAUUUUUGAUGGCCACCACUUUGAUCAAGAACAUAAAGACUAGGUUUUUUCAUGUUGAGGACAUCCAAAAGACAGUUUAAGGAGCUAAUAAAGUGCCAUAACGACACGGUUUCCAUUCGGUAAUUUGCGUUAGUCGUGUCUUCACUUUACAUUGUAGCGAUAACUUCCUGUUCGUGACUUGGUCUGCACUAGCAGUUUAGAGUACAUAUUUCCAGAUUAUGCUUUCAUUUGCUAAAUACCUGCUUGAUUCUUUAGUUAACCUCUGGGAAUCUCAUCUCGUAUUCUUGGGAAGUCCCUGAUUUGCUUGUGACUUGGGUUCAAUUACUUGCUAAUUACUUAAUUGGGUAUAUGAAGAAACAGUUGUUAAUUACUUACUUGGUGCAUCAAUUUGUUCAGUCUGGAUUGCUGCUCAAGGGAAUUACUGUUUUUGUACUCUGUUUUUAGGGUAUUUGUAUAGGAAAUGGUGGUUGUAUGAAGCCAAUUGAACUACCACUCUUCUUGUGAUGAACAGAUUUUAGUGGAUGUUUUUGCAGAGAAAUUGUUGUGAAAUUACGUGGUUUGUGGCUUAAUUUCAUUUACUUGGAUGUUUGGAUGGUCUACAUUUUUAUUCUCAAAGAAGUUAGCAUCUUGGUUAGCUGCAAUGUUUUA